rnacentral:rRNA from 1 species
CAGCAGCCACGGGAAUACGAAGGGGGCUAGCGUUGUUCGGAUUUACUGGGCGUAAAGCGCACGUAGGCGGACUUUUAAGUCAGGGGUGAAAUCCCGGGGCUCAACCCCGGAACUGCCUUUGAUACUGGAAGUCUUGAGUAUGGUAGAGGUGAGUGGAAUUCCGAGUAUAGAGGUGAAAUUUGUAGAUAUUCGGAGGAACACCAGUGGCGAAGGCGGCUCACUGGACCAUUACUGACGCUGAGGUGCGAAAGCGUGGGGAGCAAACAGGAUUAGAUACCCGCGUAGUCCCUGUCUCUUAUAC